rnacentral:tRNA from 1 species
GGCUCCGUAGCUUAAUUGGAUAGAGCACCUGACUACGGAUCAGGAGGUUGCAGGUUCGAGUCCUGCCGGAGUCACCA